UACGAAGGUGGCAAGCGUUGUUCGGAUUUACUGGGCGUACAGGGCGCGUAGGCGGUUGGAUAAGCCCUCCGUGAAAUCUCCAGGCUUAACCUGGAAAGUGCAGAGGGGACUGUUCAGCUAGAGGAUGGGAGGGGAGCGCGGAAUUCCCGGUGUAGCGGUGAAAUGCGUAGAGAUCGGGAGGAAGGCCGGUGGCGAAGGCGGCGCUCUGGAACAUUUCUGACGCUGAGGCUCGAAAGCGUGGGGAGCAAACAGG
rnacentral:rRNA from 1 species